AGUCCCGUUGCCAACAGAUUUCUGACACAUUAAAACUUGCGUUUCACAGGCGCAGCUAGAAAACGCCAAUGACUGUUGUGAAAGAAUAAAGAGAAUGAAUGAAACCUGUGUGAAUAUUACACACUGUGAUCCUGGUCUCCUUCAAGUUCAGGAGAACAGUACAACAUUUUGUGUGUCCUGCGAUUUAACAGAGCAGGGGAAUUCAACUUUACUUAACAAUAGUAAGUGCUGUGACAUGGUCAUAAAUGAACAUCUGUACAGUCUAGAACAGU
rnacentral:lncRNA from 1 species